UAAAAUGGAUGUUUUUAUUAAAUAAAUAGGAUUUAUUCCUAUGAAAAGUGUGUAUUGAAAACUUGGGUUUUUACCCAUAUGUUUAAUGUGGUGGUUUACUCUGAUUAAAUAUUUCCUAACUACGGUCCUGAUGAAAAUUUCCGCUGCCAAAUUGGAUAAAUAAAAUGUGAUACCACCGAAACUGGCUCACGGCCGCCCGUUCCCGGGAGAUAGGGAUCGGGGGCUGUGACAGAAGGUGGUAUCAGAGCUAUGCCACUGAUUCAGCCACAGAAGUGUUCUGCUGACAUCAAAAUUCAAAGUUAUGAGCGACCAAGGACCUUCUGACGCCUAUCGUCAACUGUCUGGUUCGCCUAGGAGCGAAGGCACCUCCUCUUCUCAGCCUGCCCUCUCAGGGUAUUCUGCUGACACAGAAGAAGGGAUCUUUGUGUUUAAGGCUCAGUCUGAAGAGCCAUUUCCUCAGAAAAAGAGGGGAUGGUUCAGUAGGGGAGCGCACGAG
rnacentral:lncRNA from 1 species